UACGUAGGUGGCAAGCGUUGUCCGGAAUUAUUGGGCGUAAAGCGCGCGCAGGCGGCCUCUUAAGUCUGAUGUGAAAUCUUGCGGCUCAACCGCAAGCGGCCAUUGGAAACUGGGGGGCUUGAGUACAGAAGAGGAGAGUGGAAUUCCACGUGUAGCGGUGAAAUGCGUAGAUAUGUGGAGGAACGCCAGUGGCGAAGGCGACUCUCUGGUCUGUAACUGACGCUGAGGCGCGAAAGCGUGGGGAGCAAACAGG
rnacentral:rRNA from 1 species